rnacentral:rRNA from 1 species
UACGUAGGGUGCGAGCGUUAAUCGGAAUUACUGGGCGUAAAGUGUGCGCAGGCGGCCGAGCAAGUCGAGUGUGAAAGCCCCGGGCUUAACUUGGGAAUUGCGCUCGAAACUACUUGGCUGGAGUGUGGCAGAGGAAGGUGGAAUUCCAGGUGUAGCGGUGAAAUGCGUAGAUAUCAGGAGGAACACCGGUGGCGAAGGCGGUCUGCUGGGCAGUUGCUGACGCUGAUGCGCGACAGCGUGGGGAGCAAACAGG